UACAGAGGGUGCGAGCGUUGUUCGGAAUUACUGGGCGUAAAGCGCGCGCAGGCGGCCCUUUAAGUCCACUGGUGAAAGACCGGGGCUCAACCCCGAGUCAGCCAGGGAUACUGGAGGGCUGGAGACAGGUAGAGGCAAGCGGAAUUCCGGGUGGUAGCGGUGGAAUGCGUAGAUAUCCGGAAGAACACCGGAGGCGAAGGCGGCUGCUGGACCUGGUCUGACGCUG
rnacentral:rRNA from 1 species